rnacentral:lncRNA from 1 species
CAAACUGAAAUUAUGAAAACUAUUACAAUUUGAGCAACCAGGAAAUGGCAGAGCAACUUCUGCAUAGUGCAGUCCAAAAGUAGAAGUAGCAACUCAGAAAUGACCCAUUAAGGGACAACCAUUGCUCUACUGCAGACCCAGGUCCUGAGAAAGAACUUGGUAAAGCACCAAACACAGCAGUCUACUCUACUCGUACUGUGCCAUUACAAUACAGGCUGGUUAGUCCGUGUGUGUGUGUGUGUGUGGUGUGGUUGAAAACAUGACCGGACACACACCAAAAAUGGUUGUAGAGGUGCUGCUUUCUUUAUUUUCAGUGUUCUUUGGUUGAAUAUGGUAGAAAUUGUGAAGACAGUAAAGAGACUCUAAAAUGUGUUGUGUUUGGUAUUUGAUAAAAGCAGAACCAUUAUCUGCAUUUAUGGGUGAAGUCAGAAUGUAUUUACAUGGCUCAGGAUAAAGUAUGCCAAUGCUGCCAUCUAGUGGAGAAUACAAGCAUUGCUCUAAUUUCUGGUAGUCUGCACACCGCUGAGAAAUACUAGACAAUACCUUAAAGCGGAUUAUAGACCUUGCAUGACAAAAAAUUAAGACAUAACAUACUACGUACACGCCUUACUUUAUUAAUUUGCAUUACAACCAGGAAGUCUGAAAUGUGACAAAAGAAUCCAAAUAGAUACCUUAACAGUUUGCUGUCAUUUUACAUCUCCCGCACUGCAUUUCCUCAUUGCCUUCAAAACAUUCGUGCUACAUGGGUGUUGAUGGGAUACCUUUAGAAGUCUUAUUCAAUACUUCACCACAGCAUCCAUAAUCAUUUCCCAAUGGAAAAUACCGCCAAACCAUGACAAAAUCUUGGCAAAAUAAAGCGAAUAAAGACAAAGCAAACUUGUCUCGGCUCACUUUGGAUUUCUCACUCCUGAAAAUAAGGCUUACUUUGUAUCAAUCACCCGAUCAGUGCCCUUAAAUUGUGCGUUAACGUGACAGGCUACAGAGUAAAGACUGGGAAACCACAGAAUGCCACAGGGGCCUGGUGUGUAUACUGUGUUGUCUAUGUACGUUGUAUGGGUGGACAACCUGGACUCAUUUAGGAUACCCCAUAUAUAGAAGGAUGGAGGAGUGGGGAGCCAGGACUACAUUUGAGUGUCCCCUUGGCAGUAGGGUGCAGGACAAGGGUGUCCAGGACUACAUGGGAGAGCCCUCCCUUAGUUGCUGGCUUUGACAGCCUCAAUCUUGCCAUCCUGCUGUUUGAGACGGUAGUCAUUCAGGGCAGCUUUGAUGGCAUCCUCUGCCAGCACUGGAGAAAGGGGCAAGAAUUUCACAUGGUUGUAAAAUAGAUGAAAAAGGCACGUAUGGUUUAGAAAUUCAGCUUGGUAGACAGGGCAUAGUAUUAUAUAUCAGACUGAAAUAAGAGCUUACUGGAGCAGUGAAGUUUGACAGGUGGAAGACUGAGCUCUUUGGCAAUGUCAGUGUUCUUUAUUGUCAGUGCUUCGUUAAUCUGAAAGCCAAAAAGAAGGCAACAUUUCACCAACCAAGAAAUAAACUUGAUCCAACCAUUAUAUGUAAUGAAAAGAAAAAACAAACAGUGUGGUGGAAAUGACUGUUGAAUUGAGAAAUUGAAAACAGAGCAACAGAACAGUAACACAGGAAGCAGAGGAAGUGUCAUGGAUGCAGAAUGUUCACUCACGGAUUUGCCCUUCACCCACUCUGUUACCAGGGAGCUGGAGGUCUUGUCCAGGGAUCCAACAUUCCUUGGGUUCUCAUAGUGGUCCACUACCU